UACGUAGGGAGCAAGCGUUGUCCGGAAUCAUUGGGCGUAAAGCGCGCGUAGGUGGCCUCAUAAGUCCGCUGUGAAAGUCCAAGGCUCAACCUUGGAAAGCCGGUGGAUACUGUGAGGCUAGAGUACGGAAGAGGCGAGUGGAAUUCCUGGUGUAGCGGUGGAAUGCGCAGAUAUCAGGAGGAACACCAAUAGCGAAGGCAGCUCGCUGGGACGUUACUGACGCUGAGGAGCGAAAGCAUGGGUAGCGAACAGG
rnacentral:rRNA from 1 species